rnacentral:rRNA from 1 species
AUUGAACGCUGGCGGCAUGCCUUACACAUGCAAGUCGAACGGCAGCACGGGGCAACCUGGUGGCGAGUGGCGAACGGGUGAGUAAUGCAUCGGAACGUACCUUUCAGUGGGGGAUAACGUAGCGAAAGUUACGCUAAUACCGCAUAUUCUGUGAGCAGGAAAGCAGGGGAUCGCAAGACCUUGCGCUGAUUGAGCGGCCGAUGUCCGAUUAGCUAGUGGGUGAGGUAAAGGCUCACCAAGGCGACGAUCUGUAGCGGGUCUGAGAGGAUGAUCCGCCACACUGGAACUGAGACACGGUCCAGACUCCUACGGGAGGCAGCAGUGGGGAAUUUUGGACAAUGGGGGCAACCCUGAUCCAGCCAUGCCGCGUGAGUGAAGAAGGCCUUCGGGUUGUAAAGCUCUUUCGGCCGGGAAGAAAUCGCACGGGCUAAUACCCUGUGUGGAUGACGGUACCGGAAUAAGAAGCACCGGCUAACUACGUGCCAGCAGCCGCGGUAAAAC